rnacentral:RNase_P_RNA from 1 species
CGGGCCGGACAGCCGCGGAUGGUUGCCGAAAGGCGCCAGAUGAGGAAAGUCCGGGCUCCACAGGGCAAGGAUAACAGGUAACGCCUGCCGGGGGUGACCCCAGGACAAGUGCAACAGAGAGAUACCGCCUCCGCUCCUAUCAAAUGGGGCCCCCGCAAAAACGAAGGUUUUUGUGGGGAGAGGAGAUGCAGCAAAAUGAGCGAGCCCUGCCGCUUGCGGCGGGGCGAGGGAUAUGGAGCUUGCAUCGACGAGGCAAGGGUGAAAAGGUGCGGUAAGAGCGCACCCAGCCCAUGGAGACAUGGGUUUUAUGAUGUAAACUCUAUCCGGAGCAACACCGUGUGUGGGACAAUAGGCUUGCCCGGCCGUCCCCAAGAGGUGGCUUGAUCCCGUGAGCAAUUGCGGGGCUAGAUAGAUGGCUGUCAAGCCAGAUCCCUCCUUAUAGGCCAGAUC